rnacentral:rRNA from 1 species
UACGGAGGGUGCGAGCGUUAAUCGGAAUAACUGGGCGUAAAGGGCACGCAGGCGGGUCUUUAAGUGAGAUGUGAAAUCCCCGGGCUUAACCUGGGAAGGGCAUUUAAGACUGGGAGUCUAGAGUACUUUAGGGGGGGGUAGAAUUCCACGUGUAGCGGUGAAAUGCGUAGAGAUGUGGAGGAAUACCGGAGGCGAAGGCAGCCCCUUGGG